rnacentral:lncRNA from 1 species
GCGGAGAGGAAAAGAAAGGCGACGAGUCGCCCGGCGCGAGACCCGUGCAGGAGAUCCGCACCCGCUCCCGUGCCCGACAGCCGCGCGGUCUCGCCAGCCAGCCCCGCACCCUCGAACCUGCCGAGCUCCUCCUGACCGGCCGCAACCAUGGGAGACGCUUCGACCGCGGACCCGUCAACUGCCGGAGGCUCGGAACAGUCUAUGGUCAACAAGGAUGCGGGAGGUGGCGGAGGCGGUGGUGGCAUGAUCAUCCUCCUCAUUCUGCUGGUGGUCGGUAUUCUCGCCGUCGUCGGUGUACUCUUCGCAACCGGAGCUCUGGGCGGUGCCAAGCAAGCAACUACCACCACGGAG